rnacentral:rRNA from 1 species
AUGGCUGUGGAAAUUUGGAAAAUUUGCCUUUUCUAUCAAGAUGAGAAUCAACAACAUAAAGUUCUAGAAGGAUUCAUGGACAGAAAAGAUAUCUCCUUUUAUGAGUUAAUCAAAUUGACUAAAGAAGUUGGCUUCUCGCCGGCAUAUGGUUUCUUGUACUACAGGAAGAAAUACCCGCGUGGUAGCUCUUUCAAAGAUAGCUCGCUCGUCGUAUCUCGACAGAAGAAGAACAACUUUGAUCGAUGGAUAUGGAUUUCUUUCCUGUUGGUGCGAUUCAGGGAAGCUAUUUGUGGUGUAAUAUGCAGCUAA